rnacentral:rRNA from 1 species
UACGAAGGGGGCUAGCGUUGCUCGGAAUCACUGGGCGUAAAGCGCACGUAGGCGGAUUCCUAAGUCGGGGGGUGAAAUCCUGGAGCUCAACUCCAGAACUGCCUUUGAUACUGAAGAUCUUGAGUUCGGGAGAGGUGAGUGGAACUGCGAGUGUAGAGGUGAAAAUUCGUAGAUAUUCGCAAGAACACCAGUGGCGAAGGCGGCUCACUGGCCCGAUACUGACGCUGAGGCACGAAAGCGUGGGGGAGCAAACA